CACGUGAGCAACCUGCCCCUGACUCUGGGAUAAGCGCUGGAAACGGCGUCUAAUACUGGAUAUGUGACGUGACCGCAUGGUCUGCGUUUGGAAAGAUUUUUCGGUUGGGGAUGGGCUCGCGGCCUAUCAGCUUGUUGGUGAGGUAAUGGCUCACCAAGGCGUCGACGGGUAGCCGGCCUGAGAGGGUGACCGGCCACACUGGGACUGAGACACGGCCCAGACUCCUACGGGAGGCAGCAGUGGGGAAUAUUGCACAAUGGGCGAAAGCCUGAUGCAGCAACGCCGCGUGAGGGAUGACGGCCUUCGGGUUGUAAACCUCUUUUAGCAGGGAAGAAGCGAAAGUGACGGUACCUGCAGAAAAAGCGCCGGCUAACUACGUGCCAGCAGCCGCGGUAAUACGUAGGGCGCAAGCGUUAUCCGGAAUUAUUGGGCGUAAAGAGCUCGUAGGCGGUUUGUCGCGUCUGCUGUGAAAUCCCGAGGCUCAACCUCGGGCCUGCAGUGGGUACGGGCAGACUAGAGUGCGGUAGGGGAGAUUGGAAUUCCUGGUGUAGCGGUGGAAUGCGCAGAUAUCAGGAGGAACACCGAUGGCGAAGGCAGAUCUCUGGGCCGUAACUGACGCUGAGGAGCGAAAGGGUGGGGAGCAAACAGGCUUAGAUACCCUGGUAGUCCACCCCGUAAACGUUGGGAACUAGUUGUGGGGUCCAUUCCACGGAUUCCGUGACGCAGCUAACGCAUUAAGUUCCCCGCCUGGGGAGUACGGCCGCAAGGCUAAAACUCAAAGGAAUUGACGGGGACCCGCACAAGCGGCGGAGCAUGCGGAUUAAUUCGAUGCAACGCGAAGAACCUUACCAAGGCUUGACAUAUACGAGAACGGGCCAGAAAUGGUCAACUCUUUGGACACUCGUAAACAGGUGGUGCAUGGUUGUCGUCAGCUCGUGUCGUGAGAUGUUGGGUUAAGUCCCGCAACGAGCGCAACCCUCGUUUUAUGUUGCCAGCACGUAAUGGUGGGAACUCAUGGGAUACUGCCGGGGUCAACUCGGAGGAAGGUGGGGAUGACGUCAAAUCAUCAUGCCCCUUAUGUCUUGGGCUUCACGCAUGCUACAAUGGCCGGUACAAAGGGCUGCAAUACCGUGAGGUGGAGCGAAUCCCAAAAAGCCGGUCCCAGUUCGGA
rnacentral:rRNA from 1 species